rnacentral:rRNA from 1 species
AUUGAACGCUGGCGGCAGGCCUAACACAUGCAAGUCGAGCGGAUGAAGGGAGCUUGCUCCUGGAUUCAGCGGCGGACGGGCGAGUAAUGCCUAGGAAUCUGCCUGGUAGUGGGGGAUAACGUCCGGAAACGGGCGCUAAUACCGCAUACGUCCUGAGGGAGAAAGUGGGGGAUCUUCGGACCUCACGCUAUCAGAUGAGCCUAGGUCGGAUUAGCUAGUUGGUUGGGUAAAGGCCUACCAAGGCGACGAUCCGUAACUGGUCUGAGAGGAUGAUCAGUCACACUGGAACUGAGAACCGGUCCAGACCCCUACGGGGGGCAGAGGUGGGGAAUAUUGGACAAUGGGCGAAAGCCUGCGCCAGACAGGCGGGGGGGGUGAAGAAGGUCUUCGAAUUGUAAAGCACUUUAAGUUGGGAGAAAGAGCAGUAAGUUAAUACCUUGCUGUUUUGACGUUCCCAACAGAAUAAGCACCGCCAAACUUCGU